AACGAACGCUGGCGGCAUGCCUAACACAUGCAAGUCGAACGAGACCUUCGGGUCUAGUGGCGCACUGGUUCUUCACUCGUUUGCACCUGCCCUUCGGUUCGGAAUACCUCCCCGCACGGUGUGCUCCUACCUUCUCCUGUCUUCUUCCCAAAUAUUUCUCUCCUUUUGAUUGGCCCUCGUUGGCUUAGCUAGUUGUUAGGGUAAACGCCUACCAAGGCGACGAUCCCUCGCUGGUCGGAGAGGAUGAGCAGCCACACUGGGACGGAGACCAGGCCCAGACGCCGAAGGGAAGCAGCAGGGGGGAAUAUUGGACAAUGGGCGAAAGCCUGAGCCAGCAAUGAAGCGUGAGUGAUGAAGGCCUGAGGGUUGUAAAGCUCUUUUACCAGGGAUGAUAAUGACAGUACCGGGAGAAUAAGCUCCGGCUAACUCAGUG
rnacentral:rRNA from 1 species